UACGAAGGGGGCUAGCGUUGCUCGGAAUCACUGGGCGUAAAGCGCACGUAGGCGGCUUCUUAAGUCAGGGGUGAAAUCCUGGAGCUCAACUCCAGAACUGCCUCUGAUACUGAGGAGCUCGAGUCCGGGAGAGGUGAGUGGAACUCCGAGUGUAGAGGUGAAAUUCGUAGAUAUUCGCAAGAACACCAGUGGCGAAGGCGGCUCACUGGCCCGAUACUGACGCUGAGGCACGAAAGCGUGGGGAGCAAACGGG
rnacentral:rRNA from 1 species